rnacentral:rRNA from 1 species
ACGUGGAUACCUCGAGGAAACUGAGGAUCAAACCGCGUCAUAGUGUCAUAACUAUCUGGAAUGAUUUAUGGCUCAAAAUCUACAUGGCCCCUGGAUUGGACUGCGGCCGAUACAGGCUGUUGGUGAGUGUCAAUGGCCCACCAAACACUAAAACCGGUACGGGCUACUGAAGUAGGACGAAGCCCGGAGUAUGGGCACUGAGUACAAGGGCCACCAGUGACCUAUGGAGGCGCAGCAAGGCGCGAAAACUCUGCAAUAAGCGAAAGCUUGACAGGGUUAUUCUGAGAUGAUUUCCAGCUAAGGAAAUCUUUUGGCAACCUCUAAAAAUGGUGCAGA